UACGGAGGGGGCAAGCGUUAUUCGGAAUUAUUGGGCGUAAAGGGCGUGUAGGCGGCCUCGUGUGUCUUCUGUGAAAGCCCUCGGCUCAACCGAGGAAUUGCAGGGGAAACUGCGGGGCUCGAGUCCGGGAGAGGAAAGCGGAAUUCCCAGUGUAGCGGUGAAAUGCGUAGAUAUUGGGAGGAACACCCGUGGCGAAGGCGGCUUUCUGGACCGGUACUGACGCUGAGACGCGAAAGCUAGGGGAGCAAACAGG
rnacentral:misc_RNA from 1 species